GAGAGAAGAGACUGAGAGGAGAGAGAGAGAGGGGAGAGAGAGGGAGAGAGAGGGGGAGAGAGAGAGGGAGAGAGAGGAGAGACUCCCCGGCUCCCUCCCUCCCUCGCACACAGCGACUGGAGACGGACGGAGAGCAACGCGCUGGGAGAGGAGAGACCACCGAGAACAGCCCCGCGCUCUCACACAUACACUCACACUCGGCUCUUUCCUCUCCCCCCCUCCACCUCCUCCUCCUUCCACCCCCACCACUAACACCAUCUCCUCCUCCUUCUCUCUUCAACAAGAAAAAAAAAAAGCCAUUUACAGGGGGUGAUGUGCAACUAAUUAAAGGCAGACUGGCAGCGUCUGCAAAUUCUAAGGCUCCCCAAAUAAAAAGAGACUGUUGUAACAGUUGGAGGAUAAUGCAAAGGAAGACGCUGCCUGGGAAUUCACCGUCUGUGGAAAUGCGCCCCAGAGAGGAAUAAAGCAGUCCUCACCUUGCUCUCCCCACCUGGACCCACUUUCCCCUCCCGCCUCGGCCCCCACCCCAACAUCACCAUCACCCCC
rnacentral:lncRNA from 1 species